UUUGCAGAUGAUGUUGUGCUGUUGGCUUCAUCGAGCCAGCACCUCCAGCGUGCAUUGGGGCGGUUUGCGGCAGAGUGUGAAGUGGCUUCGAUGAGUGUCAGUACCGCUAAAUGUGAGGCCAUGGUUCUCGACCGGAGAAAGCAUGUAGCUGUUCUGGACUAUCGUGCACCAACUCUGGCUGCAGACAGCGUCCUGCCACAUUUUAGUGGUUCACGAAAAUCAGCUGCUUUAUUGGAUGUGGCUUGUGGUACCGGACUGGUGGCCAAACAGCAGAUGAAAAAACAUGGAUUUGAACUUUUUGUUGGAGUUGAUGGAAGCGAUGCCAUGCUUAAUGAGGCAAAGGAGAGCGGAUUGUACCAGGACUUGAAACAGUGCCUCCUAGGGGAGGAACCCUUUCCUGCACUGUGGGCAGGUUUCUUUGAUGUGGUUAUGAUCGUGGGGGCACUGAGCCUUGGUCAGGUUCCUGUUGCUGUGGUCAGAGACCUGUGUGAGGCCGCCAAACCAGGUGGCCUAAUUUGCAUGACAACAAGAAGUAACUCAGAUAAUUUGGAAUACAAAACUGCGCUUGAGCGUGAGCUGCAGCAGAUGGAGAAAGAAGGCCUCUGGAGUUGUGUGGAGAUCACAGAGGGUUCUGGAUGUCAGAGUACCCAUCAGGCCUCUGCUAUGACAAGUACACUGUUAUCAAACAGAAAUGAAAACAAGAGCCUUCUCUCUGUUUUAUGAAUAGUUGACUGUUAGAUCCUGUUUUUGCAAAACGCAUAUUAUUAAAAGACCUACUUGAUAUUUGGAGGUCUAUGAGAUUUUGAUUUCUGUUUUCUAUUGAGGUGAACUGCAGGCUCAUGUAAAAGCCCGGGUGGAAAGUAAGUUUUUGAAUUCUAAGAGGAAGGAUGAUUUUAAAAAAAACAACUUUCCUUUGACUCAUUAAGGUUGAGUACAGAAAAUUUGAGCAACCUAUUAAACAAAUCAUAAAAGCAAGAAGAAAUAAGAUAAGAUUAAGCUUUAUUGUCAUUGUACAGUCACACUUGGUACAACAGUACAACGAAAUUGCAAACUGUCCCACAUUGGUGUAAAGAGAAAGAAGAAAACAACAUAAAAAACCUCAAUAAUACGCACACCAGGUGUAUGUACAGAAUAUACAUUCCUCAUUCUCCCAGAGAAACUCAACCAUGUGUGUGUUCAUUAGGGCUAUUGCUCUGUUGUAAAAACUGACUCUGAGUCUGUUAGUCCGUGACCUCAGCACCCUCAGUCUUUUUCCAGAGGGCAACCAUUUAAACACCUGAUGUCCUGGGUGUGUUCAGUCUUUCGUGAUGUUGUGUGCCCUCCCAAGACAGCGGGUGCUGUAGAGGUCCUUCAGUGAGGGAAGAGGGUAGCCAAUGAUCUUUUGGGCAGUGUUUAUGACCCUCUGUAGAACCUUCUUGCGUGCCAUGGUGCAGCUUGAAAACCACACGGAGAUGCAGUAAGUUAGUACACACUCAAUGGAGCAACGGUAGAAGGCAACCAGCAGCUCCCUUUUCAGGUUGACCCUCCUGAGGAUCCUCAGGAAGUGAAGACGCUGUUGGGUCUUUUUCAUUCCCUCUGUAGUGUUUGAGCUCCAUCGAAGGUCUUCAUCAAUGUGCACACCAAGGUACUUGAAGCUCUGCACUCUCUUCACACCCUCCCCAUUAAUGACAAUGGGCUGCAGAUCUGACUUCUUCCUCCUGAAGUCCACGAUCACUUCUCUUGUUUUUGAGGUGUUUAGGACCAAAUUGUUGUCUGCACACCACCCCAACACCCUCUGGAUCUCAUUCCUGUAUGCCGUCUCAUCACCGCCAGAGAGAAGCACCACCACAGUUGUGUCAUCAGCAAACAUGAUGACUACAUUGUUUGGGUGUGUGCUGAAACAGUCUUACGAGUACAGUGUGUACAGCAGAGGACUUAGCACACAGCCUUGUGGGGAGCCGGUGUUUAAAUUCAGGGCUGUGGAGAGUUGAGGACUAGGGGUGUCACGAUUCUCCAAAUCCUCGAUUCGAUUUCAUUUUCGAUUCUAAGGUCACUGUUCGAUUCGAUUCUCGAUUUUUACAUUCAUUCUUUUUAAAGCACAGAUUAUCAUUUUUUAAGCUAGACUUUAAUGCAAUAGAAUAUCUGACCUUUGUUAGCAGUGUAUCACACAACAUUGUCAAAUUUAAAACUUUUAUUAACAACAUGUUACAAUAACAUAUCUUUAGUCAAUUAAAAUAUAAUAUAAUAAAUAAACUGACAAAAAAAAUAAAAAAAAGACUGACAUCCAGUUUCUCUUUUGUAAGUGCAGUCUUCUUCACAAAGAUGACAUUCAAGUUCACAACAAAACAAACAAACAAUAAAACAGACAUGUCCAUAGUCUCUGAACAAUUAAGUGUCUUAAACUAUUUCUGAACAGAUGAACAUAAACCACACUGAUGUAUUUUGUAAUGUAUUUUUUAAAUAUUUUUUCAAGGUCUGCACAGACCUUCAAUAACUGUCUCUUUUACAUUAUGUACAUAGAGGGAAUCACCGUAGCUGUGAGAUGUGUUCUACUUGGGAUUUCGUAGCGAGGCUCUAGAAUGCAAAUUAAAUUCCUGUGACUUAAUUUCGAUCGAUUUCGAUUUACAGUCGAAAUCGUGACACCCCUAUUGAGGACCCUCUCUGACUCUCUGUACUCUGUCAGAGACAAAGCCUCUUAUCCAACAGCAAGUGGUGGGAGGAAGUCCAAUGAAUGUCCAAUAAUUUUCCUGACAGUCUGUCCGGCAGUAUUGUAUUAAACGCAGAGCUAAAGUCGACAAAGAGCAGCCUAGCAUAACUCCCUUGUGUUUCCAGAUGGGAAAUGGUGGUGUGUAGCGCUGUGACGACGGCGUCCUCUGACGAUCUGUUAGCUCUGUAUGCAAACUGUAGUGGGUUGAGUGUGGGUGAGAGAUAGGACAUGAUGUGAUGUCGGACCAGUUUCUCAAAACACUUCAUUAUGACAGGUGUCAGAGCUACCGGUUGGUAGUCAUCGAGGCUGCUGAUGGAGGUCUUUUUCGGUAGACUGACUACCAGCAAUGUAAAUUUGUCCUCUGUGUAGAGAACAUUUCUAAACCUGAAUAUCCCCCUAUUGAAAAGCCACUCCAUUGUGGCUUUUCAAUGAUACCAAAUGUAAAGGGGUGGGGCUCUAGGAAUUGUGGGUUUUUGUUGGAUAAAUACAUUAACUACCCAGAGUUUUUCUUCUUCUCUGGUAGUCAGGAGGAUAUAGGGUGUGUGGAGGUUCUCACUUUGCCCACCCAUGUAUCAAAGUGUCCUUGGGCAAGACACUGAAACCCACAUUGCUCCUGCGGUUACAGGUUGAUGGCAGUGUUCAGCAGCAGAGCCGCCGUGUAUGUGUGGAUGGACAGGGACUGUCUUUAAGGAGCCUUAAGAAGGCAGUAAUGGUUAUAUAAGUAUCCACCAUUUACCAUAAAUCCUAUAUUGGUAACUGCUUUGCAGCAUUUUAACUGAUCAGAUUUUGAAAUCACAUUAAAAGAAAAAUAUAAAUUGUUCUUUUCUCAUAAAUGCCAUUACAUGCAACAUGAAACAUAGCUGCAGACUUAUGAUACCAACUGGUUGGCCCUUAUUCAAAUCCCAGCUUUUUGUCAUGGUGCCUCUGGCAGACUCCUCCCCCUCCAGCACUGUUUCACUCUUCUCCUGAUUGCCACCAGCUGCUGUCACUCUCCUCAUCAUCACUUCUGCUCUUAAGGAGCUCCAACGCCUCAAGCCGACGCCAGAUCGUUAACCCUUACGGAAACCACGUUACGAGUGACACCAGUGUGGGUCAUCAGUUAAGCCGUUCCAGUGAACCGGAAGACUCCUCGCCGUACGCUGACCGCGUUAACACCUCCAGCCACGCCACAACACAAGCCAUCUUCACAUUCGGACCUCGCCGGGACUAAACCUCAGCCUCACACGGAGAAUCAAUAAACGAUUACUCAUCUGCCACUUACCUGUCUUACUCUGGGUUUCAGCAUCUGGGUUCGCUUAGCCUGAAGAAUCAUGACACUUUUGUCACAAUCCAGAAUCAGACGAGUCAGACUGAGUAUUGGUUCUAAAUUUGUGUCAGAAAAAUGCUUCAGUUUAUGUAAGUAUUCAUGUAACCAUUAUGGAAACCUGCACAUGAACUGAUGAACAGCCAGUCAAUUUUUCCAGUAUGAACCGAAAUGUGGAUGUGGACUUGUAGACACAAGAUGUCAGUGUUCAUGCAUGACAUGACAGCUGUGAAACCAACUGAAACGUUUCUUCCGACUCCAGCAUAUAAUAUAAAACUUUUUGAGUUUAA